CCUACGGGGGGCAGCAGUGAGGAAUAUUGGUCAAUGGGCGCGAGCCUGAACCAGCCAAGUAGCGUGAAGGAUGACUGCCCUACGGGUUGUAAACUUCUUUUAUAAAGGCAUAAAGUGAGGCACGUGUGCCUUUUUGUGUGUACUUUAUGAAUAAGGAUCGGAUAACUCCGUGCCAGCAGCCGCGGUAAUACGGAGGAUUCGAGCGUUAUCCGGAUUUAUUGGGUUUAAAGGGAGCGUAGACGGGUUGUUAAGUCAGGUGUGAAAGUUUGCGGCUCAACCGUAAAAUUGCAAUUGAAACGGGCAGGCUUGAGUACAGGUGAGGUAUGCGGAAUUCGUGGUGUAGCGGUGAAAUGCUUAGAUAUCACGAAGAACUCCGAUUGCGAAGGCAGCUUACUAAACUGCCACUGACAUUGAUGCUCGAAAGUGUGGGUAUCAAACAGGAUUAGAUACCCGUGUAGUC
rnacentral:rRNA from 1 species